UGGGGAAUAUUGCACAAUGGGCGCAAGCCUGAUGCAGCGACGCCGCGUGAGGGAUGACGGCCUUCGGGUUGUAAACCUCUUUCAGUAGGGAAGAAGCGAAAGUGACGGUACCUGCAGAAGAAGCACCGGCUAACUACGUGCCAGCAGCCGCGGUAAUACGUAGGGUGCGAGCGUUAUCCGGAAUUAUUGGGCGUAAAGAGCUCGUAGGCGGUUUGUCGCGUCUGUCGUGAAAGUCCGGGGCUUAACCCCGGAUCUGCGGUGGGUGCGGGCAGACUAGAGUGCAGUAGGGGAGACUGGAAUUCCUGGUGUAGCGGUGGAAUGCGCAGAUAUCAGGAGGAACACCGAUGGCGAAGGCAGGUCGCUGGGCUGUAACUGACGCUGGGGAGCGAAAGCAUGGGGAGCGAACA
rnacentral:rRNA from 1 species